UCUCGAUCGUUUUUCACUCCUAAUUGUCAUAGAGCGAACGGAGAGAGGGAGAGAGAGGGAGCGAGAGAAGAAUUAGAGAGGGAAGGAGAAGUCGAAAGAGGAGUUUAACCACUUUUGCUCUCGCGUGUGUGUAGAGGAAGAAGAGGAAGAAAAAGACUACGGUUGUUGUGCAGUUUGCACGAGAUCAAAAAAUACAGGAGGGAAAGCUUGUGUGCAUGCUCUCGUGUGUGUGCAGAGGAAGAAGAAGACUACGGCUGUUGUGCAGACCGCAUGAGAUCGAAGAAUACAGGGGGAAGACUUGUGUGCAUGCUCUGUUAGGAUGAACUACGACCGAAGGAGAAGAAGGGAAGUGAAAGUCUUGCAGUAUUGUGUAUGAAGAUAGGGCAGAAGAUACCGUGUCAUGUUCCUAUGUAGAGGAAGAAGACAAAUUGUACUCGUGAGAGGAAGAAAAGCCUUACGUUAGGAUCAACCGAGACCGAAGGGAGGCGUGUGCAGUGCUAAGUAGGGCCAUGGGACUGAGGGUAGGAGGAAGAAUAAGAGCGGAGCUCCCGUGAGUGAGAUAGGGUUGUUGACCAACUGUAAACAAGAUUGAAGCUAUUAAAAUCCCGAAAGCAAAGUGUAGGAAGCUCUCAUUCUGUGGGAAGGAGGAGCUUCGAGCGUGUGUGAGGUUAAGGUGAGGUCGCCGAAGUUUAAGAUUCUAAGAAAAGGUUUGAGGAGCAUGCCAGUGAGAUAGAAGAUUGAUCCGAGAAACUGAUAAGUAAGUGCUUGAGGUUAAGGAAAUAUAGUUUUGAAAUUGAAGGGGAAAGCGGAGGCUUGUGCGAGAAGCUAAUCAUACCUUUU